rnacentral:rRNA from 1 species
GACGAACGCUGGCGGCGUGCUUAACACAUGCAAGUCGAACGCUGAAGCUUGGUGCUUGCACUGGGUGGAUGAGUGGCGAACGGGUGAGUAAUACGUGAGUAACCUGCCCUUGACUCUGGGAUAAGCCUGGGAAACUGGGUCUAAUACUGGAUACGACAUGUCACCGCAUGGUGGUGUGUGGAAAGGGUUUUACUGGUUUUGGAUGGGCUCACGGCCUAUCAGCUUGUUGGUGGGGUAAUGGCUCACCAAGGCGACGACGGGUAGCCGGCCUGAGAGGGUGACCGGCCACACUGGGACUGAGACACGGCCCAGACUCCUACGGGAGGCAGCAGUGGGGAAUAUUGCACAAUGGGCGGAAGCCUGAUGCAGCGACGCCGCGUGAGGGAUGACGGCCUUCGGGUUGUAAACCUCUUUCAGCACGGAAGAAGCGAAAGUGACGGUACGUGCAGAAGAAGCGCCGGCUGACUACGUG